AGAGUUUGAUCCUGGCUCAGGACGAACGCUGGCGGCGUGCCUAAUACAUGCAAGUAGAACGCUGAGGACUGGUGCUUGCACUGGUCUAAGGAGUUGCGAACGGGUGAGUAACGCGUAGGUAACCUACCUCAUAGCGGGGGAUAACUAUUGGAAACGAUAGCUAAUACCGCAUGGCAAUAGGGUACACAUGUACCCUAUUUAAAAGGGGCAAAUGCUUCACUAUGAGAUGGACCUGCGUUGUAUUAGCUAGUUGGUAAGGUAACGGCUUACCAAGGCGACGAUACAUAGCCGACCUGAGAGGGUGAUCGGCCACACUGGGACUGAGACACGGCCCAGACUCCUACGGGAGGCAGCAGUAGGGAAUCUUCGGCAAUGGGGGGAACCCUGACCGAGCAACGCCGCGUGAGUGAAGAAGGUUUUCGGAUCGUAAAGCUCUGUUGUUAGAGAAGAACGGUAAUGGGAGUGGAAAAUCCAUUACGUGACGGUAACUAACCAGAAAGGGACGGCUAACUACGUGCCAGCAGCCGCGGUAAUACGUAGGUCCCGAGCGUUGUCCGGAUUUAUUGGGCGUAAAGCGAGCGCAGGCGGUUUGAUAAGUCUGAAGUUAAAGGCUGUGGCUUAACCAUAGUUCGCUUUGGAAACUGUCAAACUUGAGUGCAGAAGGGGAGAGCGGAAUUCCAUGUGUAGCGGUGAAAUGCGUAGAUAUAUGGAGGAACACCGGUGGCGAAAGCGGCUCUCUGGUCUGUAACUGACGCUGAGGCUCGAAAGCGUGGGGAGCAAACAGGA
rnacentral:rRNA from 1 species